UACAGAGGGUGCGAGCGUUGUCCGGAAUCACUGGGCGUAAAGGGCGCGUAGGUGGCGCUCCAAGUCCGUGGUGAAAGCUCGAUGCUCAACAUCGAGUCGGCCACGGAGACUGGAGGGCUCGAGCACUGUAGGGGCAGAUGGAAUUCCGGGUGUAGCGGUGGAAUGCGUAGAGAUCCGGAAGAACACCGGUGGCGAAGGCGGCUACCUGGACAGAAACUGACGCUGAGGCGCGAAAGCUAGGGGAGCAAACAGG
rnacentral:rRNA from 1 species